rnacentral:tRNA from 1 species
AUUAAGAUGGCAGAUUAGUGCAUUAGACUUAAGCCCUAAACAUAAGACUUUACUCUUUCUUAAUA